rnacentral:rRNA from 1 species
AGCGGGGAUGGUAGCUGAAGGUGAUGAGCUGGAAUGUGCCAUCUUAGCGGCGGACGGGUGAUUAACACGUGAGCAACCUACCCUCCCACGGGGAUAACAGCUCGAAAGGGCUGCUAAUACCCGAUGGGACCACGUCACUGCAUGGUGAUGUGGUGAAAGGGUGGACGUAAGGUCCAUGCCGGCUGGGGAUGGGCUCGCGGCCCAUCAGCUAGUUGGUGGGGUAACGGCCUACCAAGGCGACGACGGGUAGCCGGCCUGAGAGGGUGACCGGCCACAGUGGGACUGAGACACGGCCCACACUCCUACGGGAGGCAGCAGCGGGGAAUCUUGCGCAAUGGGGCGAAAGCCUGACGCAGCGACGCCGCGUGAGGGAAGGAGCCCUUCGGGGUGUAAACCUCUUUGGACGGGGAGAAGUAGGAGAUAGUACCCGUUUAAAAAGCCACGGCUAACUACGUGCCAGCAGCCGCGGUAAUACGUAGGUGGCGAGCGUUGUCCGGAAUUACUGGGCGUAAGGGUGCGUAGGCGGCCUGGUAAGUUGAGCGUGAAAUUUUUGGGGCUCAACCCAAAAGGAGCGUUCAAGACUGCCAGGCUUGAGUGCGGGAGAGGACGGCGGAAUUUCCCGGUGUAGCGGUGAAAUGCGUAGAUUAUCGGGAGGAACACCAGUGGCGAAAGGGGCCGUCUGGACCGUAACUGACGCUGAGGCACGAAAGCGUGGGGAGCA